UUUUCUCACUCGUUUCUUUUCCCGUCCAGCGCGACACCGGCCGGCGAAAAGUUGAGUGGGUCGGGCGGGAACGGCGGCGUCGAUGACCGGAAGCCACCGCCCUGCCUGCGAAUCAAUCCCAAAUCACCAUGGUUCUAAGCACUGCGAAGCGGUCCAUCUCUCUACCUCUCCCUUUCUGGGUUCGUGAAACCCUCGAAACCCUUUGAAUCCCCAACUCCCGAGAGCUAAUCGACGCCGUCGGAGAGCCAGCCGAAGAUGAAUGCGUUGCUUACUAUUGACUGUCGCGGGAUGAACUGGAGGGGAGGACGAUUGAGCUGACGGCGAUUGCCGUGGCAUCCGGCGGGAGCUCCUGUCCACCUCCGAUGUUGGUAUUCCACCUGUAGCUCGGGCGCGAAAGCUGCAACCGCUCUCAAUCUCUCUUCACGUGACCUUGCCUUUGAGCUUGUAUGCAAAUGUUCCUCCAAUACGUUUAAGAUGGAAGAAGUUCAUCUAAAUAGUGAGCCUCUCUUUGAUGAUGGCAAUGAAUAUGAGUUUGAGGAAGAUGCAAAUGCUAUAGUUAACGGGGGUGAAGUUAGCGAUGCACAACCAAGGAAAGGACACUCACCACCUACUGUGGGGUUGGAGUUUGAUUCUUUUGAUCAAGCUUAUGAUUUCUAUAAUAUGUAUGGAAAGGAACAGGGUUUCGGAAUCAGAGUAAGCAAUUCAUGGUGUAGAUCAAAGAGGAAAGAGCGUUAUAGAGCAAAACUAAGCUGCAGUAGUGCAGGCUUCAAGAAAAAAAGUGAAGCCAACAACCCUAGGCCUGAAACAAGGACUGGAUGUCCUGCAAUGAUAGUGAUUAGGCUUAUGGAUUCUGAUAGGUGGAGAGUAAUUGAAGUUCAGCUUGAGCACAACCAUAAGGUUAGUCCAGAAAUCAAGCGCUUCUACAAGUCACAUAAAAAGAUGACUAUUGCUGCAAAUGCACAACGACCAUCAGAGCCUGUGACGCACAUGCAUAUCAUAAAGUUGUAUCAGCCAGCUGCUAUCGACUCUGGAUGUAAUAGCUACUUGAGUAUCAGUAGGAGAGAUGGAAUCAAUUCCAUUGAUCGCGCCAAACAUUUGGAGCUUAAAGAGGGAGAUGCCCAUGCAUUAUAUAACUACUUUUGUCGCAUGAAGUUGACCAACCCAAAUUUCUUUUAUUUGAUGGAUAUUGAUGAUGGUGGGCAUCUGAGAAAUGUGUUUUGGGCUGAUGCCAGGUCUAGGGCUGACUAUGCUUACUUUUCAGACACGGUUGCUGUUGAUUCCAUGUGCUUGGCUAACAAAUUUGAAAUUCCCUUGAUAUCCUUCGUUGGCAUCAAUCAUCAUGGACAGGCGGUUUUGCUGGGCUGUGGCUUUGUUGGACAUGAAUCAGUUGAGAAUUUUGUUUGGAUAUUUCAGGCGUGGUUGAAGUGCAUGUUGAAUCACCCUCCACAAGUAAUAUUUACAGACCAGUCCAAAGCCUUCCAAACUGCAAUUUCUGAGGUAUUCCCAAAAACUCGUCAUUGCUUUUGCACAUGGUAUAUUAUGCAGAGAGUCCAUGAAAAACUGGGUGGAUUGAAGGGGUAUGAAGUGAUUCAAAGACAGCUGAAGAGAUCAGUCUUUAAUUCUUUGAAAAUAGCUGAAUUCGAAACUUCUUGGGCUGAGAUGAUCCAUAGACAUGGACUUGGGGACAAUAAAUGGCUCUGUUCUCUAUAUGAGGAUAGGCAAAUGUGGGUUCCUGUAUACUUGAAGGAUACAUUCUUCGCAGGGAUGAUUCUUAUUCAAGCAAGUGAAAGCAAGAGUGCCUUUUUUGAUGGUUAUGUACAAAAACAUAUGUCUUUCAAAGAAUUUGUUGAUAAAUAUGAUUUAGUUUUGCAUAGGAAGCGCUUGAAAGAAGCCAUGGCAGAGCUAGAGUCCAGAAAUUUGAACUGUGAGCUGAAAACAAGAUGCAACUUUGAGGUGCAGCUCUCCAAGGUGUACACAAAAGAAAUUUUCAAGAGAUUCCAGUCUGAGGUCGAGGGAAUGUACUCUUGCUUCAACACAAGGCAGAUAAAGGUCAAUGGUGCAAUCAUAACAUACUUAGUGAAAGAACGAGUGGUAAAUGGAAAUGAAAAGGAGGUUAGAAAUUAUGAGGUCUUGUAUGAGACGUCUCAAGUGAAUAUUCGAUGCAUAUGCAGCUUGUUCAAUUACAAAGGUUAUCUUUGUCGCCAUGCGUUGAAUGUUCUCAACUAUAAUGGUGUGGAGGAAAUUCCGAGGCAGUAUAUUCUUUCACGUUGGAGCAAGGAUUGCAAGAGACAACCUCCUGUGAUACCUCAUGGUUCCAAUGAUCUUGAUGUGCAUAACCCGGCUUGGUGGCAUAGCAAUCUGUACAGACGUGCCAUUCCAAUUGUGGAGGAAGGCGCUCGAUCCAAAGACCACUACAAGAUUACUUUGCACGAAUUGGAGGAGUUGUUGAAUAAACUUGAUCUUGUUGAGGACAACUUAAGUGCACCAGAAAAUGUUUGAGUUUCCUCCUCAAUGUAGUUGUCAGAAAUGGAAGAAGAGAAAAAAUUAGACAAGUGGUAACCCUACUGACCUUGUAUGGGUUUUAAUCUACUUCCUGCAUCUCCUCCAUGUUCAAUGCCCAUACAAACGAAACAUGGAGCUUAGACAAGAGGAUUGUGGAUGGUGAAGGAGAGACUAAGGAGCAGUUGAGAACUGAACAAGAUGACUUGACUUGAGUUCUUGUACUCGCUGAGACAUUGAAACAGGCCCCCACAUGAAUGAAUUUGUGAAGGUUCUGUAUGCUGAUGAAUCUUACCAUGGAUGGAUGCGGAAGAGACUCAUCGAUGGUGCUACCAGCCCUUCACUAGUGGUCAUGAAGUGGAAUUGGAUAUAGUAUAUUUUAUUUUAUUGGUGCCUGAGGAGGAAGAGUUUACAUAACCAGUUCUCAGUAUGCCGAGGGAGGUCAAUGAACUUGCAAAGGUCGAUCGAGCUGCGCUUUUUCACCAGUUUUGUGCAAGUGAAGAAGAAAAGUAUGUUUACGUGAAGUAAGGAAUAUCAAGAUCUCCAAUAUGGUUAGACAAAAGCUACGUAUGCCAGAAACUGAGUGAAUCUAGGCAACUGACAAUCGUCUUAAGUGAGAUGAAGGCUGAGAUGGAUAGGUUUGUGCGAAAAAAGAAAGAAGAUCUGAACAAAUUUUGGAAGUAUAAGCUUGAAUGGCUUCACAGAGAUGAGGAAAGUAUACUGCUCGCUUUUUAGAAAAAAAGCUUCUCAAGAUACGUCUUCAUGAUGCUGAGGUACAACUGAAAACUUGUGAACUUGGCGAACUGAAG